rnacentral:rRNA from 1 species
GACGAACGCUGGCGGCGUGCUUAACACAUGCAAGUCGAACGAGUGGCGAACGGGGGAGUAAUACGUGAGUAACCUGCCCUCUUUUUGGGGUAAGCCUUUGGAACGGGUUCUAAUACCGACUAAAGGGGGAUGGGCUAGCGGCCUAUCAGCUUGUUGGUGGGGUGAUGGCCUCCCAAGGCGGUGACGGGUAGCCGGCCUGAGAGUUUGACAGGCCAAAUGGGGCACGGGUCAGGGUCCAGACGGAGACGGGAGGCAGCAGUGGUGGAUAGUGCACAAUGGGCGAAAGCCUGAUGCAGCGACGCAGCGUGGGGGCCGAAGGGUUUCGGGUUGUAAACCGCGUUCGCUAUCGAACGGGUAGGUGGAGAAGAAGCGCCGGCUAACUACGUGCCAGCAGCCGCGGUAAUAC